GAGUGGGCCUGGGGACUGAAACCAUGUGGCCAAGCCACUCCCCGUGCCCUUUCAGACAGGGACAGAAGUAAAAGAGCCUGUGACCUUGAUGUAAGGAAUCAUCUCCACUCAGGCUAGGGCUUUGAUCCUAGAGAAGGGAGCAUGAGGCAUGUGUGCUGUGAACCCGGAACCACAGAGUCAGAACAACACUGUCGAGGCGACUGGUCGGGUUAGUGCCACUUAACUGUUUUCGGCAGCUUCCUACGCUGCACUUGAUUGGACCAGCGUUAGCAACUGACGCAGGAAUGGCCAAUCAUAUCCUCUGCCUUAGGAACUUCAAACGGUGCCCCUGAGAGUUUUGGGACCGGAUCUCGUUCUGUAAUUGAAGCUGAACUCAAUCCCAUAAGUAGCCUAAGGUGGCCUGGAACUCUCAUCCUUCCAAGCACUGGGAUUACUGGCAUGCGUGCCUGUACCCGGAUCUGCUCUCCUCCAUCCAGAUUGAAUGAAGCUUCCUGUGGGACGUCCUCUACAGCGAUACCUCCCCUAACUCGUUUCAGAGGUGAGCAACUGCGGUACCAGGGCACGAUUGUGUGUUAUAGCUGAAGUUAUCACACGCGUGGUCCCCCCACCUGGAGGAGGGCUUUCUGAAACUGAGGCCUGAGGCUGCCCCUCUUCUCUGUCCCUACUGUGUUAGUCUUGGACAGAUUCAGCCACAGCUCUUCCCAACCGGCUGAAGAUGAAGAAAUGAAUGGAUGGACGGUUACACUCCAGACAGGCAAUAUAAACACAGCCUUCCCUGCUUUGUCUGAUAAAGCCUACCAGCUUCGGCUCAUCACGCCCUGUUUCUGAGCUGGUCCCAUGUAGGGUUUUUACUAGCUCGCAGGCUGUUAUCAGGAUGCCACAGUUUUUUUAAAAAGAGUAUCUGUAUUGUUUUACAUGCUUUACAUGCCUGUGCACCACGUGUGUCUGGUGUCCACAGAGGCCAGAAGAGGGUGUCAGAAAUUGGAGUCACGGAUCUUUCUAAGUCACGGAUGUGUGUGCUGUGAAUUGAACCUGGGUCCUCUGGAAGAGCAGCAAACGCCUUUAACUGCUGAGCCUUCUCUCUGGCCCCUGAGUGCCAAGUGUUGAUGUGACAUUUUACAACCGAGAUUAUUGAAAAUGUGUUGCUAGUAGUGACUGGGAGAAAGUACUGAGGCUCCCAGGAGCCUUAAAUCUUAAGACGUGUCUAAGAGUGGGUGUGAUGAUUAAUCACCACUGUCUGCUUGGCAGGAGUAGAAUGCCGUGGAAAGACAGCCUCUAGGGUCUUUCUUGUGUCUCUGAGGGUCUCUCCGAAAGGAUUCACUUAGGAAGCAGAUGCCCCCUGGAUGUAAGACACACCAUCCCACGAGCUAGGGUGGGGGUCGCCGGCUGAAUGAAAAGACGUGAGCAGCAGUGCUCGCCUCGCUUCUGUUUCCUGGCUGCAGAUGCAAUAUGAGCAGCCAGUCACCUCACGUUCCUUCCAUUGUGACGUCACUGCCACCCCCGCCACUGUGACGUCACACUCCCGCCGCCCGUGACGUCACCGCCACCCCACUGUGACGUCACACUCCCGCCACUGUGACAUCACUGCCUCACCCUCCCGCGGCUGUGACGUCACUGCCAUGGCGGACUGUACCCCCAGCUGUGUUGCUGUAACAAUGAGAAGAGAAAACUACUCGGUGGGUUAUUUGCAUCUGUGAAUCUUCACUUCUUCAUUUCCCCUGGCUCUACAAAGAGCACUCUUUAAUGGUACAGCCUCUUCCCCCCUCAGAAAGAGUGAGAUGCCGAUUCACAUCCCACAGCGAGAUCUUGGGGGGCACCAUAGAAAGGGUCACUACGGAGGCCAGGCCUAGGAGACCUUUCCCCAGGGACGUAUAGACUGAUCAGAGAGGAGACAGGGAGGAAAGUGGAACGUUUCUAUUUUUAGUGUGAAGUAAAUGUUUGAGCAUUCCUGUCCAGUUUUAGUCUCUGUAAUGACAUGCAUAGAGUUAAGAGUGGAAUUCCUUUCAAAUCACGUUUUUUGUUAUUGUCCCGAGGCCAAUGCACAGGAGUCUAAAUUAAAAAAAAAAUUAUACCUAAAAAUAGUCAAAAUGGGAUGUUUUAGCAAUACGCUGUUCACCCAGGGUUCUGCUUGAUCUGUGACCGUCUGCCAGACAGAACAGAAUGUCCACAACUGAUCAGUUUGUGGUGAGGUGGACAGCCAGGACUGUGAGUCACUAGGUUCAGCAGAUAAAGGUGAAUUGCCCCAAAUGAGGCCCUCUCCUCACCACUUUCUGGGGCUUUUAGGCCAAGGUUGCCCAGUACUUACAGGGGUAGGAAGGAGUGCGGGAAGGGGAACUGAGUUUAUAUAUGAAAAUCAGUUUAUAGACUUGAUAGCAGCGCAGCCUCAAACUAACAUCCACCUAGGCCAUGCUCACCCAUAGAGUUAAAACCAACUGGGCCAUGGAGACCAUGGCAGGUGGUAGCUCUGGGGCAAUCAUGAUUCCCUACAUCACAAUUGGGGCUUAUUCAAAGAAGACCCUGAAAUACACCUAGAACCCCUAGAAGUGGCUUCAGAUUUUUUUUUCUUUUUCAGGUCAGGGCUUCUCUAUGUAGUCUUGGCUGUCCUGGAACUCACUUUGUAGGUCAGACUGGCCUGGAACUCACAGAGAUCUGCCGCCUCUGCCUCCCAAGUGCUGAGAUUAAAGGUGUGUGCCACCACUGCCCAGCUUGUGGCUGAAGAUCUUAAGAUCAUAACGGGAAGGCGCCUUGACAAAGAAAGACAGCACAAACAGCUCAUUAACUGUGGAGAGGGACCAUGGCAGUCCCUGAGGGCCCAGACAUUGCUGGAUGGUUGAACUUGAACAAAGGAAUGAAAAAGUAGAGCAAGAUGGCUCAAUAAAGGAAAGCAUUGUGUUGGAAGGAU